CCCCGUCCCAGCGCAUCCUGCCUCUGCUCCGCUCCUCUCCUCCGCUCGCCGCUCCGCCCCGGCCCCGCUCCGCCCCGGCCCAGCCGCUCUCCGCCCGCCCCGAGCGGCCGUUCCCCGGCAGCGCACCCACCCCACGCUUGGGUCCGGGAGAAGCUGGCGAGUUGGAACAUGAGGUGACGUGGGGUGACGAAGGACCACGAUGCCCCUUUCCCGGUGAACAUUUCUGCCACCACUGAACCGCAGUGGGGGGCUAGUGAAGAGUGAUUGGGGCACAUGGUGCUGUCCUGGUGGAGCUGGGGUAUGGGACAACACCUCGGAGAGGUGGGGACCACUGGGCCGGGACCCUCGGAAUGAGAUUCGGGAAGGUGACAAGGUGCUGCGAGGCUGGACUGCUAUCACUGCAGAAGGAAGAUGCAUGCCAUGAGAAUGAAGCAGUUCCAGGCCAUUAUUAACCUGGGGCAUCACGAGACUCCCAGAUCCACCACAGAUCCACAGCUGGGAGAGCGGCCACGGUGAACUCGGGCAGGGCUUCCCAUGCCAGGCCCCAUCGGACCUGGGGACCAGCAGGAUCCAGCUCUGUGGAGGUGGCACCAGCCUGGGGUCCAAGUGUGGGCAGGGGAAACUGUCAGCCUGGGAUGGUGCUGAAAACAGGUGAAUUCCUAAAGGACGGAUGACCCACAAGUGCUCCAGGAGUGUCCUCUCCUAUGCACUGGUGGAUGCUGAGGGCUGUUUUUAAGGUGCUUCCUCAGCCCUUCUUGUGGGCAAUGAAAGAAGGAAGGGAAUUGAGUCUUACCCAUCUGCCCUGUGGCAUUGUUGCGAGGACGCACGGAAACAGGAGGGCGCUGAGAUGUCUUCCAUCUUUUCGGUUUCAGAACGGCCCCCGCGAGCUGCACUCGGCUGCACCCAGGGCGGAGCUGCGCCCCACGCCGCGCUCCGUGGGCGGGUGCCCGCGGGCCCGCGGGAGGCUGCUGCCAUCCCGUGGGCACAGGGGGAAGGACGAGCUCAGGGCUGGCACCCCUUCCUCGGCCCCAGCUCCCCCAGUGGCUCUGCCCCGGGCCCGCAACGUCCUGCCCGGCCCUGACGGCACUGGAGGUGGCUCCGGGUGCAGGUCGUUGACUCCUCCAGGCUCCUUGUGCCCUCUGGCUGUCGCCCCCAUUCCCUCUAGCUGCAACACAGCUGCCCACAGGGCUUGGGGCUGCCACCCAGCCAUCAGCUCCUUGCUCCUCAUCGGCAGCCAGCACGCAUCAUGGGCUACCAUCUUCUCAUGUGCAAGCCACGAUGAGCUCUCUAAAGCCCCAGAUCCGAGAGCCACAUCCUGGUUCAAGGUGAUCAGCUGGUGGCGGCAGCUGGAAAGUCCCCCAGCCAGAGCCCCUCUCCCCAGUGCUCACUUUGGGAAGGCCCUCCCUGUGGAGUCUGGGAGAGAAGAUGCAGCAGCCUGUCCUGUUCUCAGGUGGUAUCCAGAUCAUCUCUCCUCAAAGACCCCGCUGCAGCUGCGUCAGAGCCAGGGGAGCCCACCAGUGCCAGGCCCCCUGCCAGGCGACCCCCCCGCGCCUCCACGGGUGCUAAGAAUAACCAGCGCCGUCAGCAGCCGUGGUAUUUGCAGGCACCGCCAGUGCCACCCCCAUGCCAGCCUGCUGGGCACAGGAUCCAUCUGCUCCCUGACGAAUGCAGAGCUUCUCCUCUGGGACCCAUAUGAGCUGCAUUUGCCCCUGUGCCCAGGCUCUGAAGAGAGGAUUCUGCAGGGACACUGUGCUCCUACCAAGGGCAAACUUAGUGCAGAGCCUUCUUCCCAGGCAGUGAUGGUGAGUCAUGCAGAACCAGGCUGGGAUGUUUUCUUCUCUCUGUGUGACACUCCAGUAAAUCAUAUAGGAUGUCCUAGCACUGGGCCAAGGCGACCUCUGGCAUGUGGGGCUUCUUGCUCUCCUUUCAGCAUGGGGACUCACACAGCCCCAGGAGUGGCCCUGGGCACAAUGGUAUUGUCAAGGGGCAUUUCCUACUGAGACAGAGGGUAGUGAGCUAUUCCAAUGCAAGGCUUUUCAACUCAUUGGUGGGGGGGGCGGUUAAAACCAAGCUGGCAUUGAUGAAAUGCCUGGGGUUGUCUGGCAACAAAGAGGUUAAACUUCCUGUUCAUCCACAUGGCAAGCACUAAUUGUCGUGGAGAAACCAUCUUCAAGCUCUGUGAGGAGCACAGCAAAGGGUCAUAGGAGCUGCAGGGAUGCACUGGGGAAGUAUUGAAAUCAUUAUGGCACCCAGCAGUGUGGGUGCUGCUGGCCAGUCUGGCAGAGCAUGGGGUGGGCAGGCAGGGCUUAGCUCUGUGCCACUUCGCCUGUUUGGAAAUCGGGGUUUGGAGUGAGCAAUCUCUGCCCAUGGUCUGAGACUGGGGGCACUCCCUUGCAAAGGACAGGUGAGGUUUGGGGUAGAGGUUCAAUACGGAUGGAGCCACACUGGUCGUUUGGGCAUUUUCAGAUUUAACUUUUUUUUUUUAUUAUUGUAAAAUAGCCUAUGCUUCCCUCUGGUGGGGAAGAAUUGCUGUGCCAGUAGGAUAAAGUCUAUGGCUGCAAUUGGACAAGUCAUACCACAGUGAAAAACCUUUCCUGGGUACCCACUGCUCUGACAGUGGCUGUGGGCAAUGAGCCACCUGCGAUGCCACCCACAGGGCUGCCUGGCAUGUUGCUGGAGAUGCAACAGAUACAUCCCCCUCCAGGCUCAUCUCUGGGGACUGAAUGUCACACGACGGGAGCACAGUGGGCUGCAGUGCUUAUCCAGUGGAUGCCCAAGUGAGUGGACAAAGUCUUGCCCUUGCCAAGUUUUCCAUGGUCAGGGAUGAAGACGGAGGCUGGCCAAGCUGUGGAGAUGAGGUAAGCCUGUUCUGGAUGCAGGAAUCAAACAGACCUGUGGCUCCAGCUCCUGUCUGAAUGUGUCUAGGUGAUGGGGGUCUGUGGGGACAGUCCUGCUCACAGCCUGGCCAGGGAAAAGUAAACCUGUCUCCCCCAGAUCCUUACAUGCUGAGCUGGCUGGCAUGGGGCAGUGCCAUGGCAGAAUGGGGCCUGGCUGCACUGGGGUAGCUGGGGGCUCCCAGGGUGGACAGUCCUUUGAGGUUACAUAGAGAAGGAGCUGUACUAAUUAAUGAUAUCUCUGUGCUGCUUUUUGGGGAGGGGAUGAGUGGGGCUGCCUGUCCCAUCGGUGCUGGGGCAGUCUCCCACCUUGGAGUUGCCUACAGUCUUCCUGGGACCAGGAACUGGCUGCCAUCUUCCUGUUUAUGACACCAGAACGCACACCUUGGAAGAUGGGUAGGUAGCAGGAGCUAGAACAUGGCACACUGAGCUCUCUUCUGAGGGGUGCGUCCCAAACCCUGCAUCCAGACGCAGAGUUGUUGUGGACCCAGCUGUGCUCCAGUGACACCCACAUGGCUGACCUGUGCUGUCCCCCACCCAGAUCCUUCUGGGAGAGGACAUCCUGCUCAGUGCGUGCCUCUGCACCUCGCUUGUCCCCAGCUGCAGGAGCUGGGACCUAAAAUAGCCAGCAGGUGUGGCAGGCACAGGGAAGUCCCCGUCCCUGCUCAUAGCACAGCCAGCACACGCAGGGCGGAAAUAAACACGCCUGUGUGCAGACACCGACACGCGUGUGUGAGCAGCGGCACACAGACACGGACACGCGCGUGGGUUCCCCGUGCUGGGGCAGCUGCAGCCGAGUUUCCAUGCCCGCGGAGCAGCCGCUGGAUGGCAGCAAGGCCCCGGCAGAAGGAGCGGGGCUGGGGGUGCCGGGCGUGCGGAGCGGGGCUGGGGGUGCCGGGCACCGGGCGUGCGGAGCGGGGCUGGGGGUGCCGGGCACCGGGCGUGCGGAGCGGGGCUGGGGGUGCCGGGCACCGGGCGUGCGGAGCGGGGCCUUGCGGAGCACGAAGGGACCAGAGGAGGGGCGGGCAGGCCCACCGCACCGGGAGUGUCCUGGUGCCAGGGUGUCCUUUAUGGAGCCUGGUGAGAUCUGAAGGUGAAGGAUGGCUGUUGGGCAGCGGUGAACCGGCAGAGCCAGGGAGCUGCGGCAGGGCAGAGGCAAGGGGCAGCCUGGAGGCAGGAUCUGAUGGGCAUGGCACAGGUCCUGCUGCACAGCCCGGCAGUGCUGGGCAUUCCCCAGGGGCAGGGGCACAGCACCUACCUGUCCAAAGGCCAGGGGUACAAGGUGCCACAGUGUAAGGGAUGGAAUCAUAGAAUCAUAAUUUUUGUUGGUAAAGACAUCUGAGGUCACGGAGUCCAACAAUUAGCCCAGCACUGCCCUGGUGCUAUUUGGCCCACAAAGCCUCUUGAGCCUUUGAUCCUAAUUAUUGUAGACGUAAUGAAAGCACUCUGGCUGCCAUCCCUCUGGUAGCCGCUUGUGCAAACACCAGGGGGAAGAACAGCCCUAAGGAAUUAAAAUUUUCUGGCAGAUUCUGUAGCAAACGGCUUUCUGUAGCAAACUAGCUGAUUCUACCGAUGGCCUUUGCACAGGAAGAUGCCUUUGUGCAGGCAUGAGCACGACACCCCAGUCUGAUCCAGGUGUUUCACACCUCUCUGGCACUUCUGGACUUGGCAAGAGAAAAUCAGGUCCCAGGCUGUUGGCUUCAGGAGCCCAGGAGAACAUGGAGCUCUUCUGGAAAUGCUUCCAGCGAAUGAAGGAUGCUCCUGGUUCAGCUGCAGAGGGCUCUUUGGAUGAGAGAAUGAAGGCUCUUUGCAUCCAUUGAAGUGUCCCAGAAAUGGUUCUGGGGUGAUGAGGUGCUCUCACAACUGAGAAAGGUUGGGAAAAGCACUCAGGGCAGCUGUAGCUGAGGACAGCAAUGACAAGAAGGAUCCAGGCCAGCAUGGCAAGUUUGGUCCUGCUGGCAGCAGAGUCCCUUGUUCCCACACUUUUGAAAACAGGAAGACAGUCCCAGGGAGAUGGUGGGGAGGAAACCAGCGAGGGAGGAGCUCUGUGAGCCACUGGAUCUUUGCAAAGGGCUUCUUGUUCCCACCUGGAUUUCUGGUCUUGCUUGGACUCUGUGAGCUGCUGUAGCUCUCUUUCUCAGGCAAUGUCACUAAGCCUCAGAGAGGAAUUAAUGGGCUCAGGAGUCUGAGUGGCUUAGGGAGAAUGUCACUUCUAACACUUCCCCAUGGGAACCAGGUACAGGAGUGGCUGCAGGGAGGUGAUGGGUGGAAGAGCUGGCGGAGUCCAACCUGGCUGCAGCUGUGUGGGAUUCACAAACACCCCCAAAGUGCUGAUGAGGUAACUGGGGCACUGUUGGGAUUGGCACAUUGUUAGCAGUAUGGGAAUUAGAAAUUCCAGGGUGAAGUAAACCAGGUAGCACAGGCUGUGCUGUGAUGGGCUACUAUUCAACCAGCUGGGAAUUGCUCAUCAGAAGGCUGGGGCAGAGCAAAUGAAUAAACAGCGUAAAUAACUUUGGAAUGAGGUAAAAGUGUGUUAUAAGUUUAAUAUAAUUAAGGUAAAUUAGUCAUUACAUGAUGGUGAGACAUGGACAUGUAACAAUGCCCUUUAGGCAUGUCUUAUUUGUGUGGCCUUUAUGAGUAAGGGCUGCUGGGAUCCCUCUGUGGUGUAGGUGGGUGCACGAAGAGGGGAACCCCUGCACCCCACGUGAUUGGACUUGUGUUCCUGAACACAGCCUCUCUCACUCUCCAACAUCCAGGCUGGGUUUCCUCAGGGACAGGAAUAGUCUCAGCACAAAGAGAGAAGACAAGGCAGGAUGCUUUCCUGUCAAAGACUCAUUAUUCAAAUUCAAGCUCCUCUUCAAAAACCAGAAUGACAAGAAACAGCAUGGCUCAAGCACCAGUGAUCUCAUGGGAGAAAUGUUACAGGUGGGAUCUUAAGCAUCUAGUUUCUGUAACAGAGGAAAGCCUUGGGUUGGUUGUGCCCUGAUGGAUUCCCCAGGAUGACUUCAAAGGAGCCUCUCUCCCCAGCUCCCAGCUCAUCACCAGGCUGUUCCAUCUGAGCAGGCAAACCCCAGGAGACAGAGUGGAACUCCUUAGAAGCUGGAGUCUUGGGAGGCCUUGGAGGGGUGCUUUUGGUGUCAACAGCAUGUGCUAAACCUCAUGCUCAGCCCUUUCCAUUUGGCAUGCUGUGUAACAGCCUCCCUUGCUGCUGUGCUGCCAGGCUGGCCUGAGUAGCACAAGGGUGCCUGGCCAAGGUAGUGCCCCCCAAGGUGAGGGGGCACAAAUGACCAUCCUUACCCCAGAGAACUUCUUUCCUUGAGCACUGCUUUGGGAGAUGUGUGAGCUGGUGGUGGUCAGCAUGAGCAGGGAAAGACAGCCCUGGUCCCUGGAAGCACAGCCCUGGUCCCAGUCCCUCUCCCUGGAAGGAUGUCCUGCCUGCUCCCUGUUUGCUUCCUGGGGCAGAAAUAGCCCUGCUUGUCUGCUGCAGCCUGGCUUGUGCUAGACAUCUUGCAAGGCCUCAAUUUAAACAAUGAGGGACCUCAGAUCACAACCUGACACCAAAUAAAGGACAAACCUCAGCUGAGCUGGGCUGUAUGUUCAUUGGCAGUGUCCUGCCCUUGGAAGGCUGCUUGGGAGUAGGCACUCCAGGGAGAGCAUGGAAUGGGGUGGCUCAUAGGUGGAUAAUUGUCUCCAUGGGAGGAUGGAGUUCCCACACUCAGACUGGUACUAGGGCUGUGGCUAUGCCAGAGCUGUGUCUGGACUCAGCACUGCUGUUACCCACAGGAACCUUGUUCCCAGGUCUCUGCUCCUUUAUUUCAAAGCUGCUGGGUUUUAAGCCCUUGCAAUUUCCCAGAGAAGGAAAUCCCUUGGCACCCUGAUCUUUAGCACCCCUUUGAGUACUUUGUGGUGUUCCUGGGAAGAGGGAUACCUGGGGAGGAGCUCACCUGGCUGGGAAAUGAAGGUGAUUGUUCUGCACUGUGCUCCUGUGGGCUCACAUAAACCCAUUCUAAAUUCCCUGAGGGUCCAGAGACAGGAGUGAGGAAGAAGUGCAGAAUUCAGCCCAACCAUCAGAAAUGGCUCUUGCUUGGAUAUACUGCCAAGCAUCCUCAGGGCUCAUCAGGGGUGUGAAUAACCUGCUUUUUCUUCUCCACUACUUCCUUUCCAUUAGCAUAAAUUUUCAGCAGUGUGCUGGCACCAUGAGCUUUGGCUGCUGCUGUAAGGGACACUCCAGUGUCCAUAUGAAGUCCUGCUAAGGCUGACCUGGAGGGGAUUUACUGGCAGAGCAUAAGGACAUGGACCUGAAGUGACAGCAGACAUCUUGCUGGGUGAGGGCUGCCUUUGGUCAAGGUUUGUUCAACACAGAUUGUUUUGUCCAUUAAUUGCUGAUGCAUAACCAAGGCACACUCAGCAUCAGGUAUAUCCCAUACAAGGGACCUCAGGUGAUGCUGAUGGACCUGACACAUUGAGCAGAGUCAGCCUGGUCCCUCUUGCCCCUGGUGAUGUUAGUGCAUGCUCUGGGUAUGCCUUCCCAGUCUAGGACUCCUCCUGGCUCUCCCACAUCUUCUGGUGCUGAGGAAGGUGUCAAGGGCCAUGCUGAAGCAUCGGGGCAGACUCCAAAUCACCUCUGCCUCAGAGCAGUCCCUCACUAUUGUCAGAGUGCCACUCCAGUGUCACUCCUGCAGAGCUGCGUGCCCCAGCUGUGUCCAGCUCUGGGGGCACAUGCCCCUCAGGGACAGGCUUAGGAGGAAGGAGCUGAUGGUGCCAGGAGAGAGACACCAGCUCGUGCUGCCAGUUGGACACCUCAGCACAGCCAGGACAUGGCACCAGGUCCCAGCACUGCACCCUCACCCCAUCCUGAGGCACUGCUCCAGCCAUUCUUUAGAGUGUAACUUUCAGGCUUUUAAUUAAAUGCCCAUGAAACACUCAUUUGAGAUGCUUAAUUUAAAGUGAGAGCUAAUUAAUUUUAUGGGCCUUGGCCACCUCUGUUUCAUUUCUGAGUUAAUGCCUGGGCUGUACUGGUGGAGGUGCAGAGAGCAAGGCAGUCUCUGGCUGCUGGGACAGUCUAGACAGCCCAGCUGUGAGUGUGGCUGGAAGCCCCGUCAGAGGCUGGUGGUCCUGUGUGGGGCUGGUGGCCCUGUGCAGGGCUGGUACCUCACUUACCCUCCUUGCCAGGCUGGCUCUUGCUCCAGCUCAGCUGAGCAGGAGGAAAAUAGGGCUGAGUUGGGCCUCUGUCCCGGCUGGUCCCACAGGGCUGGACUCACAUCCAAGCACCACAUCCCAGGGACACAGAGCCUGUCCCUGUUUCCAGGGACUGGCUCAGCAUGACAUUGCCUCACGCAUCAUUUGUCAACCUUUCAAUAACCUUUUCUCCCACUUUAGAGUGGAUUUGCUUUCUCAUAGCUGGCCUCCCCAAGAUCCCCAGCACCACUGCAAUGACUCCCAUGGCCAUGGGAGCUUGGAGGAGCUUCUCCAGCAGCAUCUGCUCAGCUUGGGGAUGCUCAGAGCACUCUGCCCAGCCCUCCAGUCCCAGGGUGUCCCUGAUUAUGAUCUCAUUGGGAAAAACAUAGAGGGGCAGCCAGCCUCCACCUGCUCUGUACACCUGUGAGCCAAAUGACCACCAAGGGACAGCAGUGGCACUUGGCAGAGCCCCUUGAGGCUGGCUGCAGGGAGGCUGGGAGGCAGAGAAUGAGACCUGGAGGGCAAAGCUCCAACCAGGAGCAGCCCAGGGCUGAAUGAGGAAGGGAGGGAAUUCCCUGCUAGAGCUGACACCAGGCCUGAGGCAUGAGAGGAGAAGGUAGUGGGGAGGGGGUGUCUGUCUCUGCCAUGCUUCAGACCCACUGGGAAGGGGCUAUGGGUGGCUCUGGUGAAGGUGUCCAGGUGCUGAGGUCCAGCUGGGUCCCUUGGCAUGGUGACCCCAUCCCUGAAGAGCUGCAUGUGCCACUGCCUGCACCACAGGGAACACAGAUGGGUUGUUUUUGAGGGCCUGGCAGAUCUGCAGUCUCCUGCUUUAUGGCUGACUGUAAAGGGCCUGCUAUAAACUGUGAUUGAAAACAUGAAUCAUCUCACUAAUUAAGCAGAGUUAUUUCCAUGCCAGGAAAUCUGUCUCUUUUGUCAAGAUCUUUGUUUUCAAAUGGGAAUAAAUCUCAGGCAAAGCUAAAGAUUGGCUCCUGAACUCUUUAUCACCAAGUAGCAGUGAUUUAUCCUGUGAUUUGCCAUGGCACCAGAGAAAAAAGAGAAUUAAUAAUAAAUAUUCAUUUUUAAGCCACAUAUGUUAGUUUGAAAGACAAGUGUCUACUAGGGAAGGCAGGAAGAUCCUUUGGAAUGGAGAAUGUAAAACCCCUCUCUCUGAUUUAUUAUAAUUUUGAAAUUUAGGGGCUCUUAGGUAAAUAUAUGAGGAUAGGGAUAAUAGUUCUUUACUAGUAUGUAUAUAACAAGGCAAACAAAAUUACAAUAACUAUGACAUUAACAACAAAUAGAACUGGGGACCGAGUAAAAGCCUUCUUGGCUGCCAGCACUUUCCCCUUUGGUGCAGUUACUGUCACAGCCAGCAGGAAUGAGCAAAAGAAUCUCGGGGUGGUGGAUGAGAUGUAUUAGAAGUUCCACAGUGGUAGCUGGAACUCCAGGACAGUGCCAGCUACAGCAUGGAGAAAACUAGAGCAAAAGCAAAGAAACAGCUGAGGCGGGGCAGCGGCGGCACAGCUCCGAGCAGGGCAGGGAGGGGUGAGGUUCAGGAUUGCCAGGGGACACGAGGGUCAGGAUUGCCAGGCACUUGAAGUUCAGGAUUCCUGGGCACACAAGGUUCGGGAUUCCCGGAGCACACGAGAUUUGGGAUUCCGGGGGCACACAAGGUUUGGGAUUGCUGGGGCACACGAGGUUCGGGAUUCCCAGGGCACAUGAGGUUCAGGAUUCCUGCACGAGGUUCAGGAUUACCAGGGCACACGACGUUUGGGAUUGCCGGGCACACGAGGUUCAGGAUUCCUGGGGCACACGAGGUUCAAGAUUGCUGGGUGUUAUAGGUAAAAAUUGAUCCAGCCAAUUAGAUAAAAAAUAAAAAUAAAAUUAUUCACGACCGACAUAGAGUCCUGACCGCCAACAAUCAAAAAGUAGCGCUGACUCCGGGAUCGGAGCGGGUGAACUAUGGUCUGGCCUCUAUUGCACCGAAUCCCCCUGUUCAGCACCGAGGCCUGGCAGAGUUCGAUUUUCAUACUCUUUUUCUUGCCCGUGGCAGAGUCCCUUUGUCUCUUCCUAGAGUCUUUCACAUUCAUGCAGUGUCUAUUCUCUGUCCUAUGCUGGACAAAGCCCGGUCGGGAAUUGAUGUAUAUCGGUCUCCAGUUCCUGGAAUCCUUCAUUCAGAUGUAUGUCCUUGGUGGUCCUGUCUGUCUGAGGUGGACAUCUACACGGGCGUCAUUGCUGUGCGUUUUCUCGUUCAUGCCAUCGGGGAGUGCCCAUCUCCUGUGCGGGCCAGGUUUUCUUCGUAUGUUAAUGAUGCACCUCCUCCUCGGCUGUCCUGUGUGGCAAUCACUCUUUCCCCUUUGCUGUCAUGAUCUUAAAGCUUUAUUUUAUAUUAUGUUAAUAAUCUUACAUUUCCAGCACAAAUUACCCCCUUAUUCAUAACACUGGGGCACACGAGGUUCGGGAUCGCCAGGGCACACAAGCAGAUGGUGAUCAGUCCCUCAGGGCUGAGCUCCAGCAGUGCCAGUGAAUUCUCCCCACAGUAAGUGAUAGCCUGGCCAUCCACCUCUGAUGCCAAAGAGAGAGAGCAGCUGCCCCAGCUGUUGUCUUUUUACCUGCCCCUCAUUCUCAUGCUAUCUUUGUCCCUCAGAGAGAAACUUUCAGAGAAAAAAAAUGUAUAGUCAGAUGCUCUAUUCUUCUUGUGACUUCAGACAUAGUCUUUUGUCUUUUUAAAGUACCCAUAAAUAUCCAUAAGUACCCAGUAGUUAGUUUCUUAGCAACUUAUGGGAAAAAAAUCUAUAAGUAAAAGAAAAAAAAAAUAAACCCAACACCAAACUAAGCCUGGAAGUGUCUAAACACCCACCAGAGGAGCAUUACCAUUCCACAAACUGAGUUUGGUUUGGCUCUGAGAGCAUCUUGCCAAGGCCAGCCUGGUCUGGUGGGGAAGAUGAGGGCACUUUGGGCACUGCAUUGUCUGGCAGGCUCGGUCAGUGGGAGAUGUGUGCUCCUCCCACAUCAGCUGGUGAGGAUGACAAGGAGGGCCACAAAUGUACCUAUUUGUGCUUCAGAGCUUGUAGCCAAAGCAUCAAUUGAUGUGAUACCCCACUCUGCAUUGCACUGGUUCCUGCUGAGACCAGUUUGGGCAAGGGUGGCUUGAUGCUCAUAACCCCUCUGAAUCACCGGACUCUGGGCAUGGCCUGAUUCAAGGUGGGAAGGAGAUUCUCUAGAUAGCAUAGGCUUCAGGAGGGGUAUGCAGGUGCCCCAAGCCCACAUCCUGAUCAGGUCUUUGUUCAGUGUGGCUGUGAGCCCUCUCUCCUCCUGUCCAAGCAAGCUCAGACUCAUGCUGUCCUCAUCAGGGGUGGUGUACCCACGCUCUUUGCAAAGAGUCUCGGCAUGACAGUAAAUCCCUGCAAAUGCUACUUGCAAAUUUCUUUCCAGUGUUGGAAGAGCUGGAGGACCACAUCAGGAUGUUAAUGUUGCAAUGGUAACAUCAUUAUGGCUGCAGCACUGUGCAGGUACAGUUGCCUAUGGUGGGCUCUUCCUGGUGGGGUCCUGUGGUGGGACCCGAGCUUCUGCCAGCCCCCAGUCCUAAGGUUGUGCCUGGUCCUGCCAGCUCCCAGAAGCGGCCUCAUCCCUGAUUCCUGUGCCAUUUGCUUGUAGUGCCUUAUUGGUAUUUACAGAAGGUUCCCAGGGAGUUACCUCACGUCCACCAAUUUGUGACUCAGCAAUGACAGAGCCUGCAUAAACACAGGAAUGAGGCACCAGCAAACAAUGACAAAUAGUGCAAGGUGUUCACCAAGGAAGAUCGUCUGACCUGUGUUAGCAGCAUCUGCACAAGUCAAGAGAGAACGUGGAGCAGCUUAGAGCAGUGGGUGCUGCAGCUGAAGCCAGAUGUUCAUGUUACUACAAUGAAGAGGAAGGAACCCCAGCCCUGAAGCUCCUGCUCCUUAGCCUCCACUCUCUGAGUGGAUUUAUUUGCAUUCAUGUCUUUGUGGCAGCUCAGCCGAGCAGCCCACAGCAGCAUGCUUGUAGUCAUGCAGAAUGGACUCAGCAAUGCAGCAGGAAGGACCAUUAUGGUGGGGUGUGACUCUGUAUCUUAGGUUGGAAAUGCAAGAUGUGUCUGGGGUGUGUAUUCUAUUGCCACCUGUUUUAGACAUGGGGCAGUUAUCCUCUCUUAAUUAGGCCACCUGUUAAAACCAGGUGGGGCAGUUUUCUUUAUCUCUUCCACAACCAAUCCUCCCUGCAGGAGAUCUUUGCUGUUUAUGGCCAGUGAGUGUCCCUGCAUGGCUGAUAAAAUUACAUCAUUCCAUUAGGAGAAGCUCUGCCUAGGGGGGAGGAGCCAAGCAUUCCUACCUGGAUAUAAUCUGAGGUUUGGAAUGCUACAGGCAGCCUUUUCCCACUGCAUUCCCAGAGGACCAGCUUUCUUCUCACACUGCAUUCCCAGAGGAAGAUCAGGCCCAUCUACGCCAGCACUGAAGUUUUCAGAGGAAAACUCCACCCUUCUCCAGGAUCCCUGCUCCACCAGAACCACAUCUGGCACUGCAGGAGGGCUGCAGACACCAUUUAAUGGGACUGCUGCCAACAGCUGGUCCCACAGGGUAUCAGGUCUUAUUCUGAUUCUGUCAGUGUUGUUCUAUAUUACUGCAUUUUUAUUUUAAUUUUUUAUUUUAACUUAUUUCUUUUAAAUUAUUUAUUUAUUUUAUUUAUAUUUUCUUUUCAUUUUUUUCCCUAAUAAAGAAC